rnacentral:rRNA from 1 species
CAGUCGAGCGAACACUUCGGUGGUGAGCGGCGAACGGGUGAGUAACACGUAGGUUAUCUGCCCAUCAGACGGGGACAACGAUUGGAAACGAUCGCUAAUACCGGAUAGGACGAAAGUUUAAAGGUGCUACGGCACCACUGAUGGAUGAGCCUGCGGCGCAUUAACUAGUUGGUAGGGUAAAGGCCUACCAAGGCGACGAUGCGUCGCCGACCUGAGAGGGUGAACGGCCACACUGGGACUGAGACACGGCCCAGACUCCUACGGGAGGCAGCAGUAGGGAAUCUUCGGCAAUGGGCGAAAGCCUGACCGAGCAACGCCGCGUGAAUGAUGAAGGCCUUCGGGUUGUAAAAUUCUGUUAUAAGGGAAGAAUGGCUCUAGUAGGAAAUGGCUAGAGUGUGACGGUACCUUAUGAGAAAGCCACGGCUAACUACGUGCCAGCAGCCGCGGUAAUACGUAGGUGGCGAGCGUUAUCCGGAAUUAUUGGGCGUAAAGAGCGCGCAGGUGGUUGAUUAAGUCUGAUGUGAAAGCCCACGGCUUAACCGUGGAGGGUCAUUGGAAACUGGUCAACUUGAGUGCAGAAGAGGGAAGUGGAAUUCCAUGUGUAGCGGUGAAAUGCGUAGAGAUAUGGAGGAACACCAGUGGCGAAGGCGGCUUCCUGGUCUGUAACUGACACUGAGGCGCGAAAGCGUGGGGAGCAAACAGGAUUAGAUACCCUGGUAGUCCACGCCGUAAACGAUGAGUGCUAAGUGUUGGGGGUCGAACCUCAGUGCUGACAUUAACGCAUUAAGCACUCCGCCUGGGGAG